UUUAACUUAUUUGUUACUAUAAAAUAAAUAACAGCUUCAUAAUAAGAAAAGAAAUCAGUUAUUUCAAAAACGCUUGGACAAUUUGGUAUAUGUGAAGUGCAAUAGAGCUUUGCUACGCCAACACACUUUUGGGGAUAUCACAACGCUUAUUGAUUUGACAAAUAUUGAUAGUAAUGAGUGGUUGCUUGGUGAAUUAGAAAAAGGCGAUGGGGAUGAUGAUGAUUCUUUUGUUUGCAUGGAUGAUGUGUUGAUCUGGAGUGAUGUUGGUAGAGCAGCCGGAGUUUCUAAAUCUCGUUAUGAAUCGAGAUCGGCUGCAAGAUCAACACCGGUUGAAACUCCAUCAUUACGAAGGCCUUGUGCAAUGAGAGAUGCAUUAUCUUCGCAAGUUGAUGAUGAUGAAGAGGAGGAAGAAUUUGUGAUGGCCACUAUUAAAAAUGAAGAUGAUUUUGAAAAUCUUGAUGAUGAGUAGUUUUAAUUAUAAGUUUUUUAUGUACUUCUUGAUUUCGUUUAUUAUGACUUACAACUUAUUUUUAUUUAUUAAAGUCUGAACUUCUGUAAUUUACAUUUUCUAUUAUAUGACGGAUAAAUUUUGACAACUGUCCCUGAACUUAUCUAGUUGUUACAUUACAGUCCUUCAACUUAAAAAUGUAACAUUAAACCCCAUCAACUUUCAAAUUUUGCACAGUAAAAUCCAUCCAACCUCAAAUUACUAGUUUUUCAAUUAGGCGCUGAUCUGGACAGUUCCAGCAUGGAACUUAGUCAGUAUUUCUCUUUUCUCUCUCAAGCCAUGUGUAAAUUGAAUCCUUUUUUUCUCUAUAGACAGAAUAAUUUUCAUAUGUAAAGAGAAUAAAUUUACAUUUUGCAUAAAAGAGGAGAGAGAAAUGUUGACUAAGUGCCAUGCGGAAGCUAUUCACAUCAGUUUCUAGCUGAAAAAUCAGUAAUUGAAAGUCAGAGAGAUUUUACUGUGCAAAAUUUGAAAGUUUAGAGAGUUUUAUGUUACAUUUUAAAGUUAAAGGACUGUAGUAUUAUAACUAUAUAAGUUCAUGGACAGUUAUUGAAAUUUAUCCAUUAUAUGACUUAUGACUUAUUUCUAAUUUUUUAUUUAUUAUGUAUAAUUUUAUAAUAUCACUUUUAUCAUAUACAUAAGCUGAAAAUUCAGGUAUGAACUAUUUCUUUUUCUAACAUAUCUUAUUAUUAUGUGUGUUGUUACUUAUGCUAUAUAUUUCAAUUUUACAGUCUCAUACUCUCACUUAUAUCUUAUACUUAAGCUGGAAAUACAGAUUCAAGAUGCAUUUACACAAGAAGCUCCAAUCACAAUGACUAGAGUUAAGAAGAUGCAAGAGUUGAUUGAGAAAGUAGUUACACAAGAAGCUAAAUAUGGAGAUACAAUCAAUAAAUUGGGGUUACAAGAAGAUGGGAAGUGGCUUAAUUUGAUUCAAGUUUGCAUUGAAGAUUAUCAAAAAAUAUUUGGACAGAAUUGACGAAUUUCUACGCAAAUUUAAUUUUUUUUAUCUAGGACAAGUCUGAAUAUUUUUAUUUAAUUAUUUUUUGUCA